UACGAAGGGGGGCUAGCGUUGCUCGGAAUCACUGGGCGUAAAGGGUGCGUAGGCGGGUCUUUAAGUCAGGGGUGAAAUCCUGGAGCUCAACUCCAGAACUGCCUUUGAUACUGAAGAUCUUGAGUUCGGGAGAGGUGAGUGGAACUGCGAGUGUAGAGGUGAAAUUCGUAGAUAUUCGGAAGAACACCAGUGGCGAAGGCGGCUCACUGGUCCGGUACUGACGCUGAGGUGCGAAAGCGUGGGGAGCAAACAGG
rnacentral:rRNA from 1 species